CAAUGUCAUUUUACAGGGUGGAGGGAGACACUAGCAGGGAAAGGAGAUAUUAGGAAAUGCCUCAGGCAAGAAGUAACAUGUGAACUGGAUGAAAUGAAGAGGGAAUGCAUUCUAAACAUAGGAAUAACAUCUUUGCAAAGACACAGGAAUCACCUAUCAAAAAAACCCUCUUUCAGAUGAAGAAACUGAGUCUUGGGAAAGGGUAGUAGCCAUGUAGGGAAGAACGAGAAUGGAUGCAAGACAUAAUAUGGAGGAUUAAGACUUGGUAAUUGACUGGAUAUGUGAUGUGAAGGAGUUGAGAGCAAUCUGAGGAUAUGAACCAGGAUGGCUGGACCCUGCUGACUGGCCAGUCCAUAGAAAAAAGCCAGGAAUGAGUAAUCUGCUCUGCCAAGGCCAGCAGUACAGUCAGCAGCAGCAAUAAAGCACCUGAAUUCAUUUUAGAGCUGUGAUAG
rnacentral:lncRNA from 1 species